rnacentral:rRNA from 1 species
AGAGUUUGAUCCUGGCUCAGAACGAACGCUGGCGGCAUGGCUAAGACAUGCAAGUCGUCUAACCACUUAUGCUAGCAUCAGUGGUUAGUGGCGGACGGGAGAGUAAUGCAUAGGUAACGCACCUCGGACUCCGGGAUAACAGCGGGAGCAAUCCCUUUGCGAAAGUGCUGCUAAUACCGGAUGAGAUCGUAGAGUCGCCUGGCUUAGCGAUCAAAGGUGGGGACCUUCGGGCCUGCCGGUCCGGGAUCGGCCUAUGUCCUAUCAGCUUGUUGGUGAGGUAACGGCUCACCAAGGCGUCGACGGGUAGCGGGCGUGAGAGCGUGACCCGCCUCAUCGGGACUGAGACACUGCCCGGACACCUACGGGUGGCUGCAGUAACGAAUAUUGGGCAAUGGGCGAAAGCCUGACCCAGCAAUGCCGCGUGCAGGAGGAAGCCCCUCGGGGUGUAAACUGCUGUCAGGGUCCAACAAGCAAAGCCGGUCAAUAGCCGGUCGCGUUGAGUAGACCCAAAGGAAGCCUCGGCUAACUCUGUGCCAGCAGCCUCGGUAAGACAGAGGAGGCAAGCGUUGUUCGGAUUCAUUGGGCUUAAAGAGCGCGUAGGCGCUCGGUAAGCGUCCUGUGAAAUCCCACGGCUCAACCGUGGAAUUGCAGGGCGAACUGCUGGGCUUGAGGUUGGUAGAGGUGCCUGGAACUCUAGGUGGAGCGGUGAAAUGCGUAGAUAUCUAGAGGAACGCCAGAUGCGAAAGCGGGGCACUGGGCCAAUUCUGACGCUGAGGCGCGAAAGCGUGGGGAGCAAACAGGAUUAGAUACCCUGGUAGUCCACGCUGUAAACGAUGCACACUAGAUCUGGGAGGCUCUGACGUCGCCCGGGUCCAAGCGAAAGCGUUAAGUGUGCCGCCUGGGGACUACGGCCGCAAGGCUAAAACUCAAAGGAAUUGACGGGGGCUCACACAAGCGGUGGAGCAUGUGGCUUAAUUCGAAACAACGCGAAGAACCUUACCCAGGUUUGACAUGCUUGGAUGCUAUCCGGGGAUAACCCGGUGCGCUGCCCUUCGGGGUGAAACUUGCACAGGUGUUGCAUGGCUGUCGUCAGCUCGUGCUGUGAAGUGUCGGGUUAAGUCCCUUAACGAGCGAAACCCCUAUCGUUAGUUGCCAGCGAGUCAUGUCGGGGACUCUAACGAGACUGCCGGCGUUAAGCCGGAGGAAGGUGGGGACGACGUCAAGUCAUCAUGGCCUUUAUGCCUGGGGAUGCACACGUGCUACAAUGGCGCGUACAGAGCGACGCAAUGCCGCGAGGCGGAGCAAAUCGCAAAAAACGCGCCCCAGUUCGGAUUGGAGUCUGUAAUUCGACUCCAUGAAGUUGGAAUCGCUAGUAAUCGCGUAUCAGCUACGACGCGGUGAAUGUGUUCCUGAGCCUUGUGCACACCGCCCGUCAAGUCAUGGAAGCUGGUAGCACCCGAAGUCCGUUUAGCCAACUGGUAACAGAGGCGGCGGCCGACGGUGAGACUGGUAACUGGGACUAAG